rnacentral:rRNA from 1 species
UGGGGGAUAUUGCACAAUGGUCGAAAGCCUGAUGCAGCGACGCCGCGUGGGGGUUGAAGGCCUUCGGGUUGUAAACUUCUUUUGCUCUGAACAAGGCGCACCAUGGGGUGUGUUGAGUGUAGGGGUUGAUUAGCGCCGGCUAACUACGUGCCAGCAGCCGCGGUUAUACGAAGGGCGCGAGCGUUGCCCGUACAUAUUUGGCGUCAUGGGCUUGUAGGUGGCUGGUUGCGUCUGUCGUUAAAGCUCAUGGCUUAACUGUGGGUUUGCGGUGCGUACGGGCAUGCUUGAGUGCAGUAGGGGAGGAGGGAAGUCCUCGUGUAGCGGUGGAAUGCGAAGAGAUCAGGAAGAAUACCGGUGGCGAAGGCGUGUCUCUGGACUGUUACAGAGACUGAAAAACGAAAACAUGGGGAGCGAACGGG